CGAAAAGCCCCAGGAGUGUCACGGCCAUUCUGAAGGCCCCGGAUGGGAGGGAUUCAGUGACGGAGCGUCCGUGUGAGAGUUGCAAGCUUCUGGUGAAGCUAAGACAGGAAAAAACAAAUUGGUUUGGUGUUUGCCCUUUUGAGGCCAAUGUUGGUUUUGAACAUUGAGGUGCAAUGGAAGCUCUCAAGAACGAGUUUAGAGGCGUGCUGGAUGGCGAAGUCAUCGAUGCGAUAUUCGAAGGCUGUUCCGGAGAUGUGGCUGCGGCCCGGAGGACCCUGUCCGAGAUGAUGAACGACAUGCUGACUGAGGCGAACCGCCCGCCCCCGCCCCCGCCCUUGGCGCCGGCGCCAACACCGCCGCCGACGCCGACGCCGACGCCGACGCCGAC